rnacentral:tRNA from 1 species
GGCUCGGUCGUCUAGCGGCCAAGGAUGCCUCCCUCUCACGGAGGAGACCACGGGUUCGAAUCCCGUCCGAGCUACCA